ensembl:snoRNA SNORA66 Small nucleolar RNA SNORA66
CCGCAGACUCCGAUCACUUCUGCUGUGUUUCAGUGUGAAGGGGAACCAGGUCUGCUACAGUAACAGGGCGCUGAGACAGUG